UGUCAUAUUUCAAACCGCAUCCGCCCGCAUUAUGUUUGCGAAACCGCCCAUUUAUAUGCGGGUUGGGCGGAUUGGGCGGUUUGAGCGGUUCGGAUAAACCGUUGCCCACCCCUAGGCACAAGCACUUGUGGUAGCUGCCUUAGGAGUUGAUGAUACUGAAGCAACUGAUGGACUCCUCGUCAGGAAGCUGGUUCAACAGUAUCACACCUACAGGCAUUACGGGAGGAGCUUGACAGAUUGGCAUUUGAUGAGGUUACUUGGGAUCCAUAUCGAGAUUGCCGUCAACAUCACCCAUGUCAUAAGAUCACAUUCUACAGCGGUUGUUUGAAGUGUUUGGAUGUAGUUGAACCCUCUCAUCCUGAAAGGAUUCUUAGACAGUUUGGUAGGGUUCAAACCAUCCCACCUGUGCCACUCGACCCUGUUCGUGCUGUUAGAGGUGUCACAACAGGCCGAUAUAGAGUGAUGUAUCAGUAUCUUGAUUAGAUAUGAGAGAGUUGAGAUAAUCAUGUUUUAUUUACUCGAAGGAGGAGUACCGUAGUCAGACGUCCAGCUGAUUGUGUUGAUGGUUACAUGCAGUGGUAUACAAGUAUCACACACUUAUAUAUCCAGCACCCCACACAUCGGUCUAGUUUUAACCUACGUGCACACAAUAGUCGAUCUGAUGUGCAAGAUGCUGAGAUUACGCAUCCUAUCAUCGAGGCAGGCCAUGAUGCUAGUGUUCGUGAGCCAGAUAGGUUAUAUGAGGCCAUUGAGAGGAUGACACGUGUUCUUCCGGGUCAACAAAUCGAUGAGGCUGGACCUAGUUCUAUUCCAUUUAGAACAUACAAUCGUAAAAGACGAGUAGAUGAUAGGUAGUUGGUUUUGUGGUAAUAUUGUUUUGUUAUUUUGUAAUGGAAGAUGAGUACUCUUUUGAUGUUUUUUUUUUUUU